UGUCCACCGCCGCACCAUCCACUCCCACCCCACCAAACUCUCUCGCGAAACCUAAAAAAACUCUCUCUCACCAAUCUCACCCCACCCCUCGGUCGAGCUACUCUCCCCCACGAUCUCCUCGCCGCCGCCGCUGCCUCCCACGCCGGCACGCUCGUCGCCGCUGCCACCGCCCACACCGGCACGCUCGUCGUCGCCGCCGUCGUCUCGGGAUCUACCUCCUCAUCGGCUUCCUCUCCCCCAUGGUCGACCCCAAGCUCGACCCGUCCGUGGCCCAUGACGGGCACGCCCUCCCCAACCGCAGAUCUGGCGAGUUCAAGCACUUCGUCAGGAGGCUCCCGGAGUUCAAGUUCUGAUAUCAUCAGAGGUCGUAAGCUAUGCGGGACAUCUAAGAUCAUCCCUUGGUCGCCUGUGCUCCUGGUCAGCGCAGCCAAACCUUGUGCCAAGACAUUGCUCUGCCUCUUCACACAUCGAACGCUGCAGACAGCGAAAGCAGUCAUUGCCUUCUUAAUGUCCACAAUUAGGCCAUAGCAUGGGGAUCGAGUUGGGGCUUGAGAGGACAAUUCUGUUGUGAUAUUUUUGUUAUCCAUCUCAAGAGCCACCUCUCCAUUAAAGUACUUGGCCAUUGUCUGAAGGCCGAUGAGGGCAGCUCGUGCUUCAGCCUCUUCCACGCUACGAGACAGAGGUAGCUUUUUGCAUAUUGACACCAACACUCGCCCUCUGUAAUCUGGUGCGCCAUUACGCCUGUAUCUAGUUUAGUACAAAAACACUACGCCUGUAGCCGAUCUAAAAAGCAGCAGCUUGGCAAGAAUGUGGGAAAGGAAAUAAAUUAGAAUUUUUGAUUUCAAGGUCGGGUACAUAACAUCAUAAGAUUGUUCGGGAACCAAAAUCUGAGAUUAUGCAUAGCUAGAUAUAUGAAUCAAAGGCUUGAUCUACAUCUAUAAGUUCACUGUAUGACCACACUAGACGCAAUAUUUCAGACCACCAUGAAACCUGAAGUAAUUUUCUUCAGCUUAAAACUGAUGUUAAAUUGCAGAAGUACAUUAUACAUUGUCAGUAAGCUCGUGGAUCUCAGCUGAAAUCUCCCUGUCAUCCCUUGCAUCCUCCUGAUCGCAAUCCCAGCUGAAAUCUCUUUGUCAAUCAUGACCAGCUAAUUAUUUAUUUAUUAUUUAUUAUACUAGUUCUGGUAUGCAUGAUAGUGCUUGACAUAUCGAGGGAACAAAUUUGUGCGUCAUUCACAAAGCAUCCAACUCCACAUAUUUGGGCUUGAGUUGGUACCCUUUAAAGGUCAAAAAUAUGUCCGUUAAUUAGUUUGUCCAAGAGUGGUGAAAUUUUGUUCCAUUCUACUUUAGCUACUUGGUGCCUUUGUUCUUCCGCGCUGCCUUACUGCCUAUUCAUGGAUGGUCUACACACCUUGGCAUGCUUGCUUGCACAUCAUUCAUGUAACUCUAGGCACACCAAAAUACAAAUAGUUCUAUCAGAAAAACUUUCAUCUAUAGUCACCAGGGAAUUUUUGUGCGUCGAAUUUGGAGCAAACUUCUAAAUUCAUAGCGUAGGCCUUUUGAAUUCAACUUUGCUGUUUCUUGCUUAGAUUAAAUCAUUGUUUUGGAUAGUAAAUCUACCCGUACUUUCUCGUCAAUUCACGUGCCAUUGUAGACAUGCUAUAGGAUGUUCAGCUGUUCUUGCUUUUGUCAGUACUAUGAAUUUCUCCGGUCGAUACUCUAAAGUCAUGCGCAAAAUGGAUAGAUUUGAAGCAAACUUUUGAAUUCAUAGCAUAACCAUUUAUUUAUUUUUGCUGAAUUAGAACUGUAAACUCAGCAUGCAUAUAGAAAUGCUACAUCAUGCUAUUGGGCUGACUUUAUACAAAAACCUGUUGCAAGUGCAUGGAAAAUGUGGCACUUGCCAUUCAGAAUUCUGACACUUCUUAGUGUAGCAUUGUAGCUUUAUUUUUACAUGAUCAAACUACCUUCUGUAUGCAGUAUGCAGCCACACUAUGUUAUAUAUCUUUAGUAGUAAAUGUAUCAUCUUAAGAGUGUUGUGAAGCUAGAUUAUUUUGUAGCUCAUUUUUUAGGCUUUCUCCGUGGUUAAUAUAAAUUAUGCAAAGCAAUGUUUACUUUGAGUGUAACUCUAGUGCCAUUCUAAUUAUUCAAUGUACAUCGAUGGUGCUACUGGACUUGUGCUAGUUAGAGGGGAGAAAGCUAAGAACCUUGGCCUUUAAGUUCUUGCAAGGAUCAGAGGAUAUGCUGAUGCUACUCAGGUAAAUCUUACAUGCCUCGUCGUGGGCACAUGGGUGAUCGACGUGGACUACUGCGGCCUGGUGGGCGUCGUGCUAUUCAACCACUCGGAGGCAGACUUCAUCGUGAAGCCCGGCGACCGCGCCGCACAGAUGAUUGUCCAGGUCAUUGCGACGCCGGAGGUCGCCGAGGUGGAGGACCUCGACGCCACCGUCCGGCGGGAGGGAGUGCUCGGAUCCACCGACGUUUGAACUCCUAGCCUUGGUAGAUACAUCUAGAGAAGUGUUCUAGUUGUUUGCAUCUGAUGUUUAAUGGGAUCUCGAGUUGAGAUGUUGAAUGCUGUAUCCAUGAAUGCUGCAAGUGCUAAGAUGGUUCUGUGAACUUAGUUUAUUUGCA